CCUAUAGAAUAUAGUUAAUGCAUUGGAUCCCAUUAGAACUCCACAGUUAAGCAUCCUCAGGCUAGAGUAGUACUAGGAUGGGUGACCUCCUAGGAAGUCAUAGUGUUUUACAUGC
rfam:Picea glauca, whole genome shotgun sequence.